rnacentral:rRNA from 1 species
CACGUAGGGCGCAAGCGUUGUCCGGAAUUAUUGGGCGUAAAGAGCUCGUAGGCGGUCUGUUGCGUCCGCUGUGAAAACUCGGGGCUUAACCCCGAGCCUGCAGUGGAUACGGGCAGACUAGAGGUAGGUAGGGGAGAAUGGAAUUCCCGGUGUAGCGGUGAAAUGCGCAGAUAUCGGGAGGAACACCGGUGGCGAAGGCGGCUUGCUGGGCCAGUUCUGACGCUGAGGCGCGAAAGCUAGGGGAGCAAACAGG